AUGUUUGUAUUGCAGGUUCUUGAUUUCUUGGGUAUAGACAAGAUACCAUCAAAACACAUCCUCGAGAGGUGGACAAAAGGUGCAAGAGAUAUACUUCCACAACACUUGGCACACCUGCAGAAAGAACAGAUUUCAGUUAACUCCAUUACAUUCAGGCAUUCAAAUCUAUAUACCCAUGCUUUGGAGGUCGUCAAACAUGGUGACGCAAACCCAAUUGCAUAUGAUUGUACAAUGGAGCUUCUUAGGGCAGCAAUGGAUAAACUAACGCCUUUAGCUGAUGAUCAUGGUGGACUGGGUUUAGACCAUAGAAUUGAGUUCAACAAGGCAAAAGGUACAUAA
rnacentral:rRNA from 1 species